rnacentral:tRNA from 1 species
AAAUAAGAAACAUUUAUUUAUGUAUUUAAUUUCGACUUAAAAAAAGAGUUAAUUAAACUCCUUAUUUA